AAGGUUAUGCUGAAAGUAUUCUCCCAGUUACCAGCAUAGAUAUGCAGGCCUUGCGCACGCGCAACGACAGUGGCGCCAGGGCUAGGGCCAUCACAUAUCGACCAGUUGUUAACAACAGUCGAACCCAAACCAGUAGUGGCAUUGGAGUCUAUUAUAACUGACUGAUUUUGGUUUGAACCGAGGGGCGUGUGGAAAAGGUACAGGUUGCUGAAGUUGAGCUCAGUGAUCUCUACAAACGCGGCGGAGGGAGUUAUCUGGAAAUUGGCCAUGGUGACUGGUGAGUUGGGCGGGGCUCUGGCUCAAGAGAUGAUGUAGGCUUAUGAGAUGCUAGUAUUGCUGUGUGUGAUAACAGGAAGGUUGGGAGUGUUAUUUAUAGAUAGCCAGGGCCAAUGCAAGCGUGUCUAGGCUUAGAUGGAGCGCCACAUCCCACGUGUUUUGUGCUUGUGAGGAUCAGCCAUGUGUACCAUGAACACGCUAGGAUACGUACAAGGGGAGAACUGUUGGUGCUGACUCACCGUUGUGCAUCACGAGCAAGGGAAUCACUCGUUUUUAGAUAUGAUGACAGUAAGAAAUAAACGCUCGUACGGGUAACUCAUACUGUACCUUAGAUUUUGGUGUGGUGCGCUUCAUUGAAGUGGCGGAGCUUGGUGGGUGUCAGCCUAGGCCAUGCCCCCCUGGGCUCAAAGGAAACAAGCCUAUAUCCAUUCAUGUUAGGUCUAUUUUUCGCUACAAAUCAGUUAAAAGUAAUGAGGUCUGCCACCCCUCCCAUGUUUUUGGCUCAAGCUCUGCCAUUGUUAAAUAGCGAUGACGGUCAAGCCAAGCAACCAGUUGUGUCAACACGACCGACAGAGUGGGUUUCCCGCCGACGUGACUGUCUAAUGCUGGCAUGAGGACGGAGGGCAGCCCAUAUGUAUGUUGUAGUUAGUCAUGUUGUUGUCAGGUCCAGUCAUGACUGUUUGGCAUUGAACGGGCGUGGAGACCAGGAUGCGGCAUGGGGGGCGCUCUCAGCCGGCGCACCGCUUCAAUGUUGGCUGUACUGAGAGGCCCCUCCUUCUCUAGGUUGGCAUGAAUGUGGCAGAGAGAGCUGAGAUGCGUUGGCACAUGAGAUGUUUUUGGGUGGACCCAAGGUGUCCGAUGCUUACGUGGCUGCGGUCUGGAUGCCCACAAAGCCUUUUGGUUUGCAUUCAGUUUUGUAGGAAAACGGACAAUCGCACUCGUGUACGGACAGAUGUGAUACCAUGUUGGAUCGCAAAGUGCGUCGAGACCGCCCGGGCUGGACGCUUGUGGGCGGUUUGAGAGUCCAUGUUGUAGAUACCUUUAUUGUGCAAUGGUCCUUAUAUGCAUAUUUUUAGUAGUACUUUGGUAUAUAAGAUUUAGUUUCGAAAGUCUACAUGGUAAGUUGUGGAAUCAUAUGGAAUGGACCAUGCAAUAAAGAGCUGAAAAUGAUUACUACAUGUCCAAGACAAAUAGGGUCGUGCAUCAGACAUUCCCUUCACUAGUAGAAAAUAGGGCUUCAGACCAAGGAGGAAAUCCCAUUAAAAAAGAAUCGUGGGGCCAGGGCGCCGGCCGGACAUCAUGGGCCAUUGGUCCUGGUUCGUGUCACCCCGUUGGUCCCGGUUUCAUACACGAACCGGGACCAAUAGGCCGGCAACCGUUCGUAUCCCCUUUCGUCCCGGUUGGUGGUUCAAACCGGGACUAAGUGGUGGUGGCAACCGUUCGUCUCACCCCUAGGACGAAUUUUCCGCGGCGUUCUAUGAUCCAAGGUUAUGAAAAUUGCAUAUAGUGAUCUCUCUAGGUUCCAUUGGAUAGCAAUAUGCACUUUCUAUAUAAGUUCCAUUGGAUAGUUAAUUGAGGGUUUCUUGCAUUGGCCAUAGUUAGUUCUAGUGAAACAAUUUUCCUUAUUGCAUAUUUGCACAACCGUGGGAGAAUAUAUAUACAUGUCAUAGUUAAUUUACGGUUUCUUAAUCAAUUCAUAGGAUAUGAAAAUUGCAUAGGAUAGCAAUAUGUUUCAUUUGAAUCCUAAAAAUAAAUUUCUGUUGUAGUGAAACUACACCGUCGCCGCCGACAUGGACGAGAUCACCAUGAGCGACUCCGUCGCCGCCACGUCGCACCCGGAGUUCGGCGCGCAAGUUCAAACAAUGGAUACCACCGCGACAUCAACGACGAAGUCGACGAUGCCGAGGAGGGGGAGGGGAGGACGAGGCAGUGGAGGUGGAACCGGAACCAGUGCCGCAAAAGAAGGGGAGGAAGAGAAAACGGGCAGCAAACGCCAAGCCGGCCGAACCCCGCGUCAAGUGGACGUCCAAGGAAGACGAGUGCCUUGCCGAAGCGUGGAAGACUGUCAACACCGAUCCGAUCACCGGCGCGAACCAGAACAGCGAGACAUACUGAGGGAGAAUCAAAACUACGUUUGAUGAACGCAAUUUGGCCGACCCCGACUUCGCAAACAUCCACAUGGACCGCGACAAGAAGGCCAUGGCGAAUCGCUCGUCGACGAUCCAAACGUCCUGCAACCACGUGGCAUGGAAUCGUGGAGGAGGUCGCAGCUCGCCCGGAAAGCGGCGCCAACGUCUGGGAUCAGGUAUGCCCACAUUUGGCCGGCCCUAGUUCCUCACGUCGUCGCAUGCUCUACCGACAUGUUUUGUCCGCCGUCUUGUGCAAAUGCUUGGGAUGUUUGCCAUGUACCGCGCCAACAACGAGGACCAAGAGUUCAGGUUCCUUCACGAGUUCUCCAGGAUCGACUCGUGCGAGAAGUGGAGGAAGGUUCGGAUCGCCCUCAACAAGGCCGAGGAGACCUAUAACCCGAACGCACCUGCCCCGGCUGCGGCAGAAGGCCGCCAGAUGGCACCAAAAAGGCAAGGGCGGCGAGAGACGCGGUGCCCGCUGCCCAGCGGCUCCACGCUUCGAUCGAGCAAUGCAUCGCCGACGUCAAGAGCAACGCUACUAGGAGGGAGGAGAAAUCCGACUCGCGGUGGUCGGCGAUGAUGAUCAACGUCGCUGGAAAAAAGAGGAACACCGACCUAGAGUUUAUGAUGAGGGUAGACACGUCGACGAUAGAUGACAAGGUGAAGGUGUGGUACAUAGUACUGCACGACCUCAUCUUGAACCAGAUGACAGCGCCCAUGGCAACCAUGACGGCGACCGCAACCACAACCAUAACGGCAACAACAACCACAAACGCAACGACGACCACGACGAUGGCGGCCAGCCACACAGAGGGCACGCCAACCGCGAGCCCGACUACGCUGACGACGGACAGCCCUGGGGCGCCGAUGAUGAGCCCGUAUACGCCUGUGGAGGAUCCGCACCCCGCCGAGUUGGCUGUCUGAGCCGUUUUUAUCCUUUCCUUUCGACCGUCGAACUAUUGGUGUGUUUGAUCGCCGAACUAUGACACUGAUCGCCGAAUUCGCGGCAUGUUUUUGGACAGCGGGAAAUAGGAAUUUUAAAAACGUUGGCAUCUGGGUGCCGAAACCUGGUGGCGCGGCAGAAAACUCGCUCGCUCCCAGGCUAAGAAUAGUGCCAACGAAAUAUCAGAAAGGCUAUCGCUAGGGCGGACUGGGAGCCAAAUGGCUCGAGAUGCUCUUACUACAUGAGUUGCUAUAAAUUGCUAAAGUUAGAAUGAUUUGCUGAUCUCGGCACCGUUUACAUGCAUAUGUCACUUUAUAGUGUAUCCAGAUUACAUGACCCUUGUUUGUAAUGCUACGCAGAAGGCCUGAGCUGAUGUGAUAGCUUGUAAUCACUGAUGGAUUUCAUAAUAGAAUUUUAACUUAAUUACUGAUGAUAAGAUGAAAUUAAUCUUCAACCAAGCAAAAAAAUUCGGUUACAUAUACUUGGAUCGACAUUGUAGCUUUUAGUAGUUUAUCUUGCGACUGUGCAUCCAUGUCGGUACCAGAAAGAUCAAGCAUGUGAUGUUCACCGUGCAUGCAUGUUCACGAGCAAGUAGUAGUUAAGCUCUCGGCUGGAUUACUCAACUAGCUUGAUAAGAAUAUACGAAUAUGCAUGUCAAACAUUCAACUUGUGAAUAUUCUUUUAAGAAAAGGAGGAAUACCCCGUCCUCUUUAUCAAAUCGAUGCAUAUAACUGUUUAUUAUAUUAUUGCACAUAACCCAAUUAAACAACUACAUGGAUCAAUUCCAAGCAACCUGCAUAGCAACACUGUGGCUACACCUACCAUCUUAAUAAUGUGCCCAACCAUAUAUCAACACGUCUAUUCCGAUGGCCUCAACAAACCACGCAUCUGAAAUGACUGACCGACCUUUUUAAGCCGAAAGCUCAGCCGGUUGUGUCACCAAUGUGGCGACAUCGGCUGAGAGCGCAGUUGCCGAUAGCUCAGUGGCUGCCGUAGCCUAGAUCGACAGAUUUCGUAUGCACAGAUCAUGGUGGACUCCUGUAGCCCCAUCCUGCACUCUAUCUCUGAAGAGUUGGUGGAGGCGAAGGCCGAGAUGCUUGCGUAUGACGCGGCCAUGAAGGCCAAGAAGCAGAGGUAGAGGAUGUCGGGAAAGUUGACUUUGUUGGCUUUUGAAUGUGCGUAUGCAGCUGUACAGGCGUGCCUACGCGAUUCUUGCUUUGGCCGGCUAUUUGACGGAACUUGCGUAACUAGCGACACGAAUAAAACUGAUCGAUGGAUUAGAUGGCUAAAGGCCCGUGUCGAGCCUUUGUUUUGUAUUGCUUUUCGUUUUUCUGGUGUUACAAUCAACACCCCUAGGGUGUCUUUUAUACACGUCCACAAGGGACUAUGAAAAUAGACUAGGACUAGGAAUCCUAAUACUACUAGAACUCGGUUUGGCUUUCUUUCCUAAUCCUAAAGAAACAACACGAUUAACUUCUACAUUCACCUCCUUAAUCUUGUUGCUUGACUUCACUUCUUGCACUCCGACUUUCCUCCUCAUCUCGAUGAACUUCUGUCGACCGAGGGACUUGGUGAAAAUAUCGGCAAGUUGGUCUUUCGUGUUCACAUGUUGAACCUCGGUCAACCCUUCUUCAGUGCACUCCCGGAUAUGGUGGAACCGGGUAUCUAUGUGCUUGCUCCUUUCGUGAUGAACUGGAACUUUGCACAACGAGAUUGCAGCUUGGUUAUCGAUCUUCAGUGACACCUUCUGCACCUCCCGCUUUGCAAGAAUAGCUAGGAGUCUUCUCAGCCACACUGCUUGACAAGCCGCCGUGCUUGCCGCUAUGUAUUCUGCCUCGCAUGAAGACAAUGCCACCACCUUUUGCUUCUGAGAAUUCCAGCUAAUCGGAUUCGGGCCAAGGUAGAAAACCAUGCCCGUUGUGCUCUUUCGGUCAUCAACAUCACCUGCCAUGUCACUAUCUGAAUAUCCACGAAGGAUCAAUCCUUCCUUUCCCUUUCUGUACAUGCAACCAAUAUUAAUGGUGUCUUUCACAUAGCACAAGAUUUGAUUGACCGCGCUGAUGUGCUCGGUUGUCGGAUUCUCCAUGAAACGACUCACGAUCCCGACUGAAUAAGCCAAGUCAGGUCGGGUAUGCACCAAAUAUCUUAGGCUGCCCACAACCCUUCGAUACAUUGUGGUGUCCACCGGCGGAUUUGAGCUACGCUUGCUCAACUUGUGACGUUGGUCCAUUGGAACUUGUGUCUCGUAGCAAACGGACAUUGCCACACUUUUCCAAUAACUUGACCGCAUAAGCCGAUUGACAUAGGGAAAUCUCUCCGGAGCUUUGCUUCACUUCGAUGUCCAAGUAAUAGCUGAGGAAUCCCAGAUCACUCAUGCUAAACUUGUUCUUCAUUUGCGUCUUGAAACGUUCAAUUUCUUGUACACUAUCUCCAGUGAUAAUCAGAUCGUCGACAUAAACUUCAACUAGCAGGUUUGAGCCUUUGGAGUUCUUUGUAUAGACUGCGUACUCGAGGGGACAUCUCUUGAACCCGAGCGAGACCAGACUUCGGUCUAACUUUGAGUUCCAAGCUCUUGGCGCUUGCUUCAACCCGUAAAGUGCCUUCUUGAGCUGGUAAACUUUCCCUUCUUCGCCUUUCUUCUCGUAGCCGAGGGGUUGUUCCACGUACACUUCUUCUGUGAGAUCGCCGUUGAGGAAAGCGGAUUUAACAUCCAUAUGACGAACCUUCCAAUCCUCUUGUGCUGCCAAAGCUAGGAGCACUCUCACCGUCUCGAUUCGAGCAACCGGUGCAAACACCUCAUCAUAGUCAACUCCUUGACGUUGUACGUAGCCCUUUGCAACGAGUCUUGCCUUGUACUUCACAAUGGCACCCUCCGUGUCCUUCUUUAACUUGUAAACCCACUUCAAACCUAUCGUCUUUUGGUUUGGAGGUGGGGUUACCAAAGUCCACGUGCCAUUGCUCUCAAUUGCCUUCAUCUCCUCAUCCAUGGCCUGCGUCCAGCUAGGACUUUUGCUCGCCUCUACGAAGUUCGCCGGCUCCUCAACUCUGAACAGACAUAGUCCGGAGUACUCGAGCGUAACUGGCUUUGUGUACUUGUAGUCUUUCUUGAGGGUCUUGUAGCGACGAGGCCCUGAGGAAUCCGUUGUGGCUUGCGAAGGAGGCGACACAAAUUGUGUCGGUGUUGAUGCACUUGAGGAAGACGACUGAGACCUUGGUGUGUCAUCGACAUCCGUGUCGUCGGCGUAGUCGUCGUGACCGUGACCAUCAUCUUGAUUGUCGUCGUCACUAUGCGCCUCGUUGUCGAUGUUGUCGUCGAGAUCUCCGCCUGUGUCGUGCGCGGCGUUGUCGCCAUCUCCUUGCGACCUAUGCGCGUCGUCGUCGGUGUCGGCACCAUGAUGAUCACUACCAUUGUGGUCACCUUGGUUGGGCGUCUUGCCAACCACCUGGACAUCCUUCCCUGCAUCAUCAUCAGUUGGAAAUUCAACUGCAAAUAUGUUACUGUUUGGAGCAUCGUCGGCUGUGGCGCUCCAAUUCGACGCUUGGUUUUCUUGAAACACGACGACACGUGAAAUCCGUAGACGCUUGGUUUGUGGAUCGUAGAAACGGUAUGCCUUGUUGCCAGAACUGCUCUCGUAUCCGAUGAACACCAUCUUGGUGCUACGAUCGGCAAGCUUUGAGAGGUGCGGCUCCGCCGUCUUCACAUGUGCCACGCACCCGAAUGUCCGUAGAUGAGACACAUUCGGCUUACGUCCGUAAAUUGCUUCAUACGGAGUCUUGCUGAUCACCGCCUUCGUUGGAGCCCGGUUGAGAAGAUAGACCGCCGUCGAGACAACUUCUCACCAAAAAGUCCCCGGCAGGUUCUUGCUCUUGAGUAAACUCCUUGCCAUGCCAACGACGGUUCGAUUGCGCCUUUCAACGACCCCAUUCUGCUGUGGCGUGUAAGGUGCCGUGAGGAACCUCUUUAUGCCAAUCUUCUCGCAGUAGUCGUUGAACUCAUUCGACGUAAACUCUCCGCCGCGAUCUGUCCGUAGAGCGCGAACCUUCAGCUUGUGUUCCAUCUCUGUUGCAGCCUUUAGCUUCUUCAAUGCUUCAAACGCCUCAUCUUUAGACCGUAGGAGAAUGACCCACAUAUAUCUCGAGUAGUCGUCUACCACAAGGAAGAAAUACUUCUUUCCAGCGUGAGUUCCCGGGGUGAUAGGGCCACAUAGAUCACCAUGGAGCAGCUCGAGUGCAUCACUUGCACGAUAGGUAGACUGAGCAGGGAAUGGCCUGCGGUGCUGUUUUCCAACCAAGCACCCGUCACAUACUCGAUCAACAUGGUCGAUAACUGGCAUCCCGGAUACCAUCUCCAUCUUUGACAUCUUCUUCAAGGCGUAGAAGUUAACGUGUCCAAAUCUAGCAUGCCAUAACCACGAAUCAUCGUCACUCUUGGCGAGCCAACACUCUGGUUGAGAUUGAUCAAGGUUGAGGAUAUAUAGCCUAUUCCGUGUGCGAUUAACACGAGCUAGCACGUUUCGGAGGUUGUCGAAUAUCGUCAUCACUCCGCUCUCGAUAUUCACCUUGCAUCCAUUCUCGUCAAGCUUCCCAAUAGAGAUGAUGUUGUUGCGCAGCCGUGGGAUGUAGUAUACUCCGGUGAGUAUGCGAUGUUCGCUUGUGAGACCCUCAAAGAGGACAGAUCCUUGCCCGCAAAUCUCCACAGCUGAACCAUCACCGAACUUGACCGAGCCUUCAACAUCGUAUUCCAGCUCGAGGAAUUUCUCCUUGCACCCCGUCAUGUGGUUACUGGCACCCGUGUCGAGAUACCACGACACGUUCUGAUCAUUGGAUAACUUUGGUGUCACUUUUUCCUCAUGAAGUAGCACCUUCCGGCUUGGUUUCACAACCACCAUUUCAGCGAGAUCACAAACUUCGGCCAUCAGAAGACCUGGACCUUCGUCUUCCUGCUUUGCCAAAUUUGCCUUGAUCUCCCGCUUGUUAGGCUUUGGACAAUCCUUCGCAAAGUGACCCAUCUUAUUGCAGUUAUAGCACUUGACCUCGGACAAGUCCAAGUUCCGUGGUUUCUGCUCUUUAGAUUGGCCCGCCUUACCACGACCUUGUGGUUUGCCUUUUCCUUUGCCUUUUCCGGUUUGUCCAUCGCCCUUCGUGUUGCUUGAGCCUUCGCCACCGUCACACCUUCCUUUGCUACUUGGGGCCUCCCAAUCUGCGGGCGAGUACAUGAGUUGGUCACUACCUCCUCCUUUGCCUUUUCGACAGCCACGAGCAUUCUCUUCGCACGUCCACAGGAGUCCGAUCGCCUCCGUUAUGGUCAUGUCGUCGAUGUCGUAAAGCUGCUCGAGCGUGCCGAUGAUGUACGUGAAUUUGUCAGUCACUGAAUUGAAAAAUUUCUCCACAAUCUCGGUCUCCUCGAGCUUUGCACCAAGCGCGCGGAUCUCUCCCACCAAAGUAGUAAGACGCAUGGCAUAGUCGUUCACCGAUUCAGUUUCCUCCAUCUGCAACUUGUGAAAUUGGCACUUCAGCACUUGUGCCCGAGCCUUGGUGACACGAUCUUCUCCGAUCCUCAUCUCCUUGAGUGCGUUCCACGCCUCUCUUGCCGUCUCAAACUCCGCCAAUGUCAUUAGCACGAAAUCCGGCACGGACUGGGCAAUGGCGGCCAUGGCACCUUCGUCGGACUCGUCAUCGACGUCGUCGUCCGUGAUUGCCUGCCACACUCGAAGGGUUCGGAGAAUAAUCUUCAUCUUCACCGCCCACACGCCAUAGUUGGCGUCGGUGAGCAUCGGGUACUGGAUGGGGAUGUUGCGAUGCGCCUGGACGUUGGCGCCGCUCGUUCCUCCACCACUCGUUGCUGACUUGCCGCCCUUCUUCACCUUGUCACCGUUCUUGUUCGCCUUCGGACCACCUUUGCCGGACCUGACCGACUCAGCGUCGCUGUCCGCCAUCGUAGAUCGUCGAGGCUCUAGAUACCAAUUGUUGGCUUUUGAACGUGCGUAUGCAGCUGUACAGGCGUGCCUACGCGAUUCUUGCUUUGGCCGGCUACUUGACGGAACUUGCGUAACUAGCGACACGAAUAAAACUGAUCGAUGGAUUAGAUGGCUAAAGGCCCGUGUCGAGCCUUUGCUUUGUAUUGCGUUUCGUUUUUCUGGUGUUACAAUCAACACCCCUAGGGUGUCUUUUAUACACGUCCACAAGGGACUAUGGAAAUAGACUAGGACUAGGAAUCCUAAUACUACUAGGACUCGGUUUGGCUUUCUUUCCUAAUCCUAAAUAAACAACAUGAUUAACUUCUACAUUCACCUCCUUAAUCUUGUUGCUUGACUUCACUUCUUGUACUCCGACUUUCCUGCUCAUCUCGAUGAACUUCUGUCGACCGAGGGACUUGGUGAAAAUAUCGGCAAGUUGGUCUUUCGUGUUCACAUGUUGAACCUCGGUCAACCCUUCUUCAAUGCACUCUCGGAUAUGGUGGAACCGGGUAUCUUUGUGCUUGCUCCUUUCGUGAUGAACCGGAUUUUUGCACAACGAGAUUGCAGCUUGGUUAUCGAUCUUCAGUGACACCUUCUGCACCUCCCGCUUUGCAAGAAUAGCUAGGAGUCUUCUCAGCCACACUGCUUGACAAGCCGCCGUGCUUGCCGCUAUGUAUUCUUCCUCGCAUGAAGACAAUGCCACCACCUUUUGCUUCUAAGAAUUCAAGCUAAUCGGAUUCGGGCCAUGGUAGAAAACCAUGCCCGUUGUGCUCUUUCGGUCAUCAACAUCACCUGCCAUGUCACUAUAUGAAUAUCCACGAAGGAUCAAUCCUUCCUUUCCCUUUCUGUACGUGCAACAAAUAUUAAUGGUGCCUUUCGCAUAGCGCAAGAUUUGAUUGACCGCGCUCAUGUGCUCGGUUGUCGGAUUCUCCAUGAAACGACUCACGAUCCCGACUGAAUAAGCCAAGUCAGGUCGGGUAUGCACCAAAUAUCUUAGGCUGCCCACAACGCUUCGAUACAUUGUGGUGUCCACCGGCGGAUUUGAGCCACGCUUGCUCAACUUGUGACGUUGGUCCAUUGGAACUUGUGUCUCGUAGCAACCGGACAUGCCACACUUUUCCAAUAACUUGACCGCAUAAGCCGAUUGACAUAGGGAAAUCUCUCCGGAGCUUUGCUUCACUUCGAUGUCCAAGUAAUAGCUGAGUAAUCCCAGAUCACUCAUGCUAAACUUGUUCUUCAUUUGCGUCUUGAAACGUUCAAUUUCUUGUACGCUAUCUCCGGUGAUAAUCAGAUCGUCGACAUAAACUUCAACUAGCAGGUUUGAGCCUUUGGAGUUCUUUGUAUAGACUGCGUACUCGAGGGGACAUCUCUUGAACCCGAGCGAGACCAGACUUCGGUCUAACUUUGUGUUCCAAGCUCUUGGCGCUUGCUUCAACCCGUAAAGUGCCUUCUUGAGCUUGUAAACUUUCCCUUCUUCGCCUUUCUUCUCGUAGCCGAGGGGUUGUUCCACAUACACUUCUUCUGUGAGAUCGCCGUUGAGGAAAGCGGAUUUAACAUCCAUAUGACGAACCUUCCAGUCCUCUUGUGCUGCCAAAGCUAGGAGCACUCUCACCGUCUCGAUUCGAGCAACCGGUGCAAACACCUCAUCAUAGUCCACUCCUUGACGUUGUACGUAGCCCUUUGCAACGAGUCUUGCCUUGUACUUCACAAUGGCACCCUCCGUGUCCUUCUUUAACUUGUAAACCCACUUCAAACCUAUCGUCUUUUGGUUUGGAGGUGGGGUUACCAAAGUCCACGUGCCAUUGCUCUCAAUUGCCUUCAUCUCCUCAUCCAUGGCGUGCGUCCAGCUAGGACUUUUGCUCGCCUCAACGAAGUUCGCCGGCUCCUCAACUCCGAACAGACAUAGUCCGGAGUACUCGAGCGUAACUGGCUUUGUGUACUUGUAGACUUUCUUGAGGGUCUUGUAGCGACGAGGCCCUGAGGAAUCCGUUGUGGCUUGCGAAGGAGGCGACACAAAUUGUGUCGGUGUUGAUGCACUUGAGGAAGACGUCUGAGACCUUGGUGUGUCAUCGACAUCCGUGUCGUCGGCGUAGUCGUCGUGACCGUGACCAUCAUCUUGAUUGUCGUCGUCACUAUGCGCCUCGUUGUCGAUGUUGUCGUCGAGAUCUCCGCCUGUGUCGUGCGCGGCGUUGUCGCCAUCUCCUUGCGACCUAUGCGCGUCGUCGUCGGUGUCGGCACCAUGAUGAUCACUACCAUUGUGGUCACCUUGGUUGGGCGUCUUGCCAACCACCUGGACAUCCUUCCCUGCAUCAUCAUCAGUUGGAAAUUCAACUGCAAAUAUGUUACUGUUUGGAGCAUCGUCGGCUGUGGCGCUCCAAUUCCACGCUUGGUUUUCUUCAAACACGACGUCGCGUGAAAUCCGUAGACGCUUGGUUUGUGGAUCGUAGAAACGGUAUGCCUUUGUGCCAGAACUGCUCUCGUAUCCGAUGAACACCAUCUUGGUGCUACGAUCGGCAAGCUUUGAGAGGUGCGGCUCCGCCGUCUUCACAUGUGCCACGCACCCGAAUGUCCGUAGAUGAGACACAUUCGGCUUACGUCCGUAAAUUGCUUCAUACGGAGUCUUGCCGAUCACCGCCUUCGUUGGAGCCCGGUUGAGAAGAUAGACCGCCGUCGAGACAACUUCUCACCAAAAAGUCCCCGGCAGGUUCUUGCUCUUGAGUAAACUCCUUGCCAUGUCAACGACGGUUCGAUUGCGCCUUUCAACGACCCCAUUCUGCUGUGGCGUGUAAGGUGCCGUGAGGAACCUCUUUAUGCCAAUCUUCUCGCAGUAGUCGUUGAACUCAUUCGACGUAAACUCUCCGCCGCGAUCUGUCCGUAGAGCGCAAACCUUGAGCUUGUGUUCCAUCUCUGUUGCAGCCUUUAGCUUCUUCAAUGCUUCAAACGCCUCAUCUUUAGACCGUAGGAGAAUGACCCACAUAUAUCUCGAGUAGUCGUCUACCACAAGGAAGAAAUACUUCUUUCCAGCGUGAGUUCCCGGGGUGAUAGGGCCACAUAGAUCACCAUGGAGCAGCUCGAGUGCAUCACUUGCACGAUAGGUAGACUGAGCAGGGAAUGGCCUGCGGUGCUGUUUUCCAACCAAGCACCCGUCACAUACUCGAUCAACAUGGUCGAUAACUGGCAUCCCGGAUACCAUCUCCAUAUUUGACAUCUUCUUCAAGGCGUAGAAGUUAACGUGUCCAAAUCUAGCAUGCCAUAACCACGAAUCAUCGUCACUCUUGGCGAGCCAACACUCUGGUUGAGAUUGAUCAAGGUUGAGGAUAUAUAGCCUAUUCCGUGUGCGAUUAACACGAGCUAGCACGUUUCGGAGGUUGUCGAAUAUCGUCAUCACUCCGCUCUCGAUAUUCACCUUGCAUCCAUUCUCGUCAAGCUUCCCAAUAGAGAUGAUGUUGUUGCGCAGCCAUGGGAUGUAGUACACUCCGGUGAGUAUGCGAUGUUCGCCUGUGAGACCCUCAAAGAGGACAGAUCCUUGCCCGCAAAUCUCCACAGCUGAACCAUCACCGAACUUGACCGAGCCUUCAACAUCGUAUUCCAUCUCGAGGAAUUUCUCCUUGCACCCCGUCAUGUGGUUACUGGCACCCGUGUCGAGAUACCACGACACGUUCUGAUCACCGGAUAACUUUGGUGUCACUUUUUCCUCAUGAAGUAGCAACUUCCGGCUUGGUUUCACAACCACCGUUUCAGCGAGAUCACAAACUUCGGCCAUCAGAAGACCUGGACCUUCGUCUUCCUGCUUUGCCAAAUUUGCCUUGAUCUCCCGCUUGUUAGGCUUUGGACAAUCCUUCGCAAAGUGACCCAUCUUAUUGCAGUUAUAGCACUUGACCUCGGACAAGUCCAAGUUCCGUGGUUUCUGCUCUUUAGAUUGGCCCGCCUUACCACGACCUUGUGGUUUGCCUUUUCCUUUGCCUUUUCCGGUUUGUCCAUCGCCCUUCGUGUUGCUUGAGCCUUCGCCACCGUCACGCCUUCCUUUGCUACUUGGGGCCUCCCAAUCUGCGCGCGAGUACAUGAGUUGGUCACUACCUCCUCCUUUGCCUUUUCGACAGCCACGAGCAUUCUCUUCCCACGUCCGCAGGAGUCCGAUCGCCUCCGUUAUGGUCAUGUCGUCGAUGUCGUAAAGCUGCUCGAGCGUGCUGAUGAUGUACGUGAAUUUGUCAGUCACUGAAUUGAAAAAUUUCUCCACAAUCUCGGUCUCCUCGAGCUUUGCACCAAGCGCGCGGAUCUCUUCCACGAAAGUAGUAAGACGCAUGGCAUAGUCGUUCACCGAUUCAGUUUCCUCCAUCUGCAACUUGUGAAAUUGGUGCUUCAGCACUUGUGCCCGAGCCUUGGUGACACGAACUUCUCCGAUCCUCAUCUCCUUGAGUGCGUUCCACGCCUCUCUUGCCGUCUCGAACUCCGCCAAUGUCAUUAGCACGAAAUCCGGCACGGACUGGGCAAUGGCGGCCAUGGCACCUUCGUCGGACUCGUCAUCGACGUCGUCGUCCGUGAUUGCCUGCCACACUCGAAGGGUUCGGAGAAUAAUCUUCAUCUUCACCGCCCACACGCCAUAGUUGGCGUCGGUGAGCAUCGGGUACUGGAUGGGGAUGUUGCGAUGCGCCUGGACGUUGGCGCCGCUCGUUCCUCCAUCACUCGUUGCUGACUUGCCGCCCUUCUUCACCUUGUCGCCGUUCUUGUUCGCCUUCGGACCACCUUUGCCGGACUUGACCGACUCAGCGUCGCUGUCCGUCAUCGUAGAUCGUAGAUCGUCGAGGCUCUAGAUACAAAUUGUUGGCUUUUGAACGUGCGUAUGCAGCUGUACAGGCGUGCCAACGCGAUUCUUGCUUUGGCCGGCUACUUGACGGAACUUGCGUAACUAGCGACACGAAUAAAACUGAUCGAUGGAUUAGAUGGCUAAAGGCCCGUGUCGAGCCUUUGAUUUGUAUUGCUUUUCGUUUUUCUGGUGUUACAAUCAACACCCCUAGGGUGUCUUUUAUACACGUCCACAAGGGACUAUGAAAAUAGACUAGGACUAGGAAUCCUAAUACUACUAGGACUCGGUUUGCUUUCUUUCCUAAUCCUAAAGAAACAACAUGAUUAACUUCUACAGACUUUUGGCAGGAUAUCUUUUGAGGGUGGAAUACAAGGAGUGACUUCAUUUUCAACAUCACCCCCAGUUUAUAUGGUACAUGUGCUGAUUCAAAACAUAGCUUCAAUUGAUGGUGCACAGAGCAAAAAAGAAACCUUUUGCUACCCUUCCAGACUGAAUUCAAUCUUUCAGAUAACUAUGGUAGGGCCAUGGGUUUCAGGCAGCCAUGUUAUUAUUGGACCGGACUAGGGAGCGGCGCCGCAGGAAAGCCUUGCCGUGCGGCGGCUCCAACAAACUAAGCACGACCUACCAUAUGCAAGAUUCACUUUGAUGUUUGAAAUUCAAAAAGUUUUAUCUACAAAACCGUUAAUUCAAUCGAUGAUCCGUUUUCAUCAUUGACUUUCUCGCGACGAGUUCUUCGAAACUAGAUCCCAUGUCGACAUGUUCCGUCAACUAUUUUUUUCGUUCAUACUUGCCACAUUUUUUGACUCACUUGCCAUAUCAUUAACCACUUACUUGUCUAAAAAAAUAACUUGAUUGUCAUUUUUUAAUAUUGAUUUUGUACAAAGCCUUGUAGUAGUUUUCAUCAUACAUGAUAUAAAAAGCAUGUAGUAGGUUGUGUUUGUCAAAUUAAAUAUGUCAACUUGUCAUAUUUACAUAUAAAUUUGCCAGAAAACUAUUUUGUAUGCUUCUUAGUUUUACUGUGCCAAGUUGUCAUAUUUACAAACGAUGACCAAAAAAGAUUUCUUGUGGUCAUCGGUUUUAAAUAUGUUGAGUUGUCAUAUUUUUGCGCGUGAUCGCCUAAAAAAAGUUGUUUGUGCUUGCUCGUUUGAUUAUGUCGAGAUGUCAUAUUUAUACGCAAUUUCCAAAUAAUAUGACGAUUAAGUUAUUUUUAUCACACAAGUAAGUACUUACUAAUAUGACAAGUAAGUGCAACAAAUGUGGUAAGUACGAGAAACAAAAAAGUUGUCGAAACAUGUCGACAUGGGAUCUAGUUUUGAAGAUCUCGUCGCGAUAAAAUCAGUGGCGAAAACGGAUCAUCGAUCGAUAACACUUUUUAAAUUUCGGUCAUUCAAAACAAAUCUGCAUGCAUGCAUGACGAAGAGUGUGCCAGCUGCCGCACGCUAAUAACAAUAUGCAGCGCAGUUAGUUAGAUUUUCCCGUUAUUAUUUCCUGCUUUGUUGUUCUUUUACUAUUGUUUUAUUUUUAUUUUAUCCUGUUUGGUGCUUAGUCUUUCCUUUUCAAAAAAAUAUUUUUUGUACUAUUAUUACACCAAACACAUCGCACACAUAUUAAAAAACAGAUACUUUUAUUCAUCACACCAAAGAGUAUUAAAGGCCUACAUGGCGGCUACAUAGGAUCUUCUGGAGUAGAAGGACUACUCGAUCUCAUCUUCUUAUUCGAAUUGAAAAGAAAUACUAGCCUCUAUUGCUUAGAGUGGGCGCACGUAGACACCAAGCGCAUCAAGAUAUAUACCGCUACGCCCGAAGAACCCAACGAUGCUGCUAUUCUUCUGCGCGGGUAUGGUGAAAGGGGUUCCCUUCGCUUCUCCGAAAGGCCCGUACGUCUUCACAUUCGUGAUAAAUUUCAAGGAAGUUAUUAUGUUGUGUCGGUCUUUGUCAUAAAUGCCGAAUGUUCCAGAAACUUCCUUCAUAAAUUCAGAAGCGCCGAGCACAAACUGCAUUGGAACGAAAAAGAGAAGUACGAUUAGUUGCUUAUAUAUGCAAGUGUGAAAAUUCCAUAAAUAUUUCUUCGGGGUCCACUGACCGUGUUUUGAUUUCCUCCCGAACCUCCCCAGGGUCCAGCGUUGUGCUUCUGUCCAGUCUGGUCAACAUAAGAAAAUUUGAUUGAAUCAACAAUUGAGCCGCUGCUAACAGUGAUGCUCUCCAGACGCCUUGGUACUGCCUCUAAAAUGUCUUUAUCACCCCCUCCAUUUCCACCCCAUGGUCCAAGCUUUGUGAGAAGGCUCUACACGGUAUAACGAUUAUAUGAUAUUUUUGUUAAAUAAAAGGAUCAAUGUGCGCAAAAAUUGAUAUCUAUAUCUUCAAAUAAAUAUGUGGGGUGUUCAACUAACCUCUGAUUUCAACACGGGACAAAAUCCAUGGAUUGUGAGUUCUAUGAUGUUACCGUCACUCCUUUGUUCAUGGAGCUUUUUAUGAAUGACACCAUUUGCCAUUGCAAACUGUCCCGUCCCACCAACAAUAGCCCACUCGCCUUCUUCAACAGAUAUCCCCAUCACUUGAAGCGUUGACCCCUUAAACCUGUACAAUGUUCAUAUAUUGUUAGUACAUGUAUCAUGCACCCAUAAAAACUGUAAUAGGGUACUUCCUAAUAAUAGAAUCAGAUGUAGUCUAAUUAUAAUGUAUAUGAAAAUGUGUCACCUAACAAAGAUAUAUAACCAUGAUUUCUAAUUUUGCGACAACUAAUGUAUAUAUAACCAUGUGUUUGUGUGUGUACGUACCUUUCAAUCUCAAAGGUUAUGCUGAAAGUAUUCUGCCAGUUACCAGCAUAGAUAUGCAGGCCUUGUGCACGCGCAACGACAGUGGCGUCAGGGCUAGGGCCAUCACAUAUCGACCAGUUGUUAACAACAGUCGAACCCAAACCAGUAGUAGCAUUCGAGUCUAUUAUAACUGACUGAUUUUGGUUUGAACCGAGGGAAGUGUGGAAAAGGUACAGGUUGCUGAAGUUGAGCUCAGUGAUUUCUACAAACGCGGCGCAGGGAGUAAUCUGGAAAGUAGCCAUGGUGACCGG
rnacentral:lncRNA from 1 species